rnacentral:rRNA from 1 species
ACGAACGCUGGCGGCAUGCCUAACACAUGCCAGUCGAACGAGACCUUCGGGUCUAGUGGCGCACGGGUGCGUAACGCGUGGGAACCUGCCCUUAGGUUCGGAAUAACUCCCCGAAAGGGGUGCUAAUACCGGAUAAUGUCUUCGGACCAAAGAUUUAUCGCCUUUGGAUGGGCCCGCGUUGGAUUAGCUAGUUGGUAGGGUAAAAGCCUACCAAGGCGACGAUCCAUAGCUGGUCUGAGAGGAUGAUCAGCCACACUGGGACUGAGACACGGCCCAGACUCCUACGGGAGGCAGCAGUGGGGAAUAUUGGACAAUGGGCGAAAGCCUGAUCCAGCAAUGCCGCGGGAGUGAUGAAGGCCUUAGGGUUGUAAAGCUCUUUUACCCGGGAUGAUAAUGACAGUACCGGGAGAAUAAGCUCCGGCUAACUCCGU